CCUACGUGAGGCAGCAGUGGGGAAUAUUGGACAAUGGGCGAAAGCCUGAUCCAGCCAUGCCGCGUGUGUGAAGAAGGCCUUCGGGUUGUAAAGCACUUUCAGUGGGGAAGAAAGCCUUGGGGCUAAUACCCUCGAGGAAGGACAUCACCCACAGAAGAAGCACCGGCUAACUCCGUGCCAGCAGCCGCGGUAAUACGGAGGGUGCGAGCGUUAAUCGGAAUUACUGGGCGUAAAGCGCGCGUAGGCGGUCUGAUAAGCCGGUUGUGAAAGCCCCGGGCUCAACCUGGGAACGGCAUCCGGAACUGUCAGGCUAGAGUGCAGGAGAGGAAGGUAGAAUUCCCGGUGUAGCGGUGAAAUGCGUAGAGAUCGGGAGGAAUACCAGUGGCGAAGGCGGCCUUCUGGACUGACACUGACGCUGAGGUGCGAAAGCGUGGGUAGCAAACAGGAUUAGAUACCCUUGUAGUC
rnacentral:rRNA from 1 species